rnacentral:lncRNA from 1 species
CCUGUGAAAACCGACCGAGUUCGUUGUGAUCUUGUGAAAACAACAAGUUAGGUUGUGAGCUUGUAAAACAACCAGCUGUAAUCUGAAGGAUUAUAGUGAAAUUCCCAAGAGAUCUUGGUGAGUGGAUGUAGGUGCUGGGGUGCACCGAACCACUAUAUGUUUGUUGUGUUUGUGAUGCUUUCUGUCAUUGUCUAACUUCCUCACUUACUUACUUAGAUAAAUUGCUUGCUUAACUCUUAUCUGCGCAUCCUUUAGUUGCGAGCAUAUUCAAUUUACUUAAUCAAGUCUCAUUCAAUAAAACUGCAUUAAGACUCAUUGUAUUGAAUUGCAUGCUUGGGCAAACUUAGAGUAAUCUUUUAUUGAGUCUGCUGCUUAAUAGUUUUAAUCUUGAUAAGAUUAAAAUCAAACUGUUGCUAAGUUUAAAUUCCACUGUGCAUCUAUACAACUUAGCA